GGCGUGUACUGCUUGGCUGGGCCUUACUUCUUGGUGAGCCGGCGUGCCCUUUAUUGGUGUGCGUUGGGGAACCAGGACUUUUACCUUGAGAAAAUUAGAGUGUUCAAAGCAGGCCUAUGCCUGAAUACAUUAGCAUGGAAUAAUAGAAUAGGACGUGCGGUUCUAUUUUGUUGGUUUCUAGAGUCACUGUAAUGAUUAAUAGGGACAGUUGGGGGCAUUGGUAUUGAGUCGCUAGAGGUGAAAUUCUUGGAUUGACUCAAGACCGACUAUUGCGAAAGCAUUUGCCAAGGAUGUUUUCAUUAAUCAAGAACGAAGGUUAGGGGAUCGAAAACGAUCAGAUACCGUUGUAGUCUUAACAGUAAACUAUGCCGACUAGGGAUUGGAUGACCUCAAAAUUGAUGUGUCAUUUGGCACCUUACGAGAAAUCAAAGUCUUUGGGUUCUGGGGGGAGUAUGGUUGCAAGGCUGAAACUUAAAGGAAUUGACAGAAGGGCACCACCAGGUGUGGAGCCUGCGGCUUAAUUUGACUCAACACGGGGAAACUCACCAGGUCCAGACAUAACUAGGAUUGACAGAUUGAUAGCUCUUUCAUGAUUUUAUGGGUGGUGGUGCAUGGCCAUUCUUAGUUGGUAGAGUGAUUUGUCUGGUUAAUUCCGAUAACGAACGAGACCUUAACCUGCUAAAUAGCCAGGCCGGCUUCAGCUGGUCUCUGGCUUCUUAGAGGGACUGUCAG
rnacentral:rRNA from 1 species